rnacentral:lncRNA from 1 species
AAUUCAAACACACAAACACGCAGUGGCUUUUCCAAGCAGUUCCUGGUGUCUGGAGUCACCUCUUUGGCCACUGCUUGGCACUGAAAUAUUCCAGGCAGCUCUGCCCAUCAGACAUGGCAGGGGCAGGCACCUGCCUUGUACAGACACCUGUGUUGCUUCCCUCCCUCCAUCACCUGAGCCACCUGGGUGCUGUGUGUGGCCUUGUCCCUUGCUCCUCCCGUGGCAUGGGGUGUUGGAUAGCAAGAAUGUGGGUGCUGGGAGGGAUGUGGCUGUCCCACUGCAGCCACGAUGAGCAGAAUAGUUGGGGCAGGACAGGAGCAAGGGGAAACAUCACUUACAAGAGGUUUGGGAGCUGCACCUCCAGCUGUCAGGAACCUAAUGAGCCCUAGCUCAUGAAGUUCCUGUGACUGCUGCAGGCAUCACAUGCUCAAGGAAAUGCUAGCUCCUUUCCCUGUCCCUGCCAGAGGGGAGAGCCUUAAGAGCCUCCUCAUCCCAGGGUGACAGGGACUUCCAGCAGGACAUCACAGCCAAUGGAAGUAUGAGGAUCAGGGUGGGGGACUGCUCUGAGGGGGAGACAGGGGGUCCUGGCCUGAGGGCUUUUGUCCAAUGCCCGUGUUUCCUCUCAAGGGGACCAACCACUGUCUGCCUGUCCCUCCUCUGUGUGGUCCCAGUUGUAGCUUUUUUAUACCACUGGCUCCUGGCAGCCCUCCUUGGCCACAGCAGAUGUGUGAGCACUCUGACAAGGUCAGCUACAUCUACAGAACCCCGUGUCCCCCAGGCACUACAGUGCAGGGCUGUAGGUGUCCCUGUAAAGGCACCCUGACAUACCCCAGCCUCAAAGUCAGCAGCACCCACCAUGGACAGGCAGAAAACAUGUUCCAGCUUCAGUGCUCCCAAAUCCCUCAUCCUUUCCCUGCCUGUGUACCCCUUGCAGCUGUCCCACAGAGCCCAGGAACAACACACCACUGGGUUAUCAGUGUCCCUGGGCUCCCUGUGUCUUCCAGCCUUGCAGGGCAAAGGUUUGUUUAAUGAGGCUUUAGGAGCUGCAGUAAGAUGUUUUAGGAGGAUAGUUCUGGGGAGACAAAACAUAAAGCAGCCUUAUGCACCAGGAAAAAAAUGUUACAUUUUUUGGGAAGUAACUGUAAAGAUGAUGUGGGGAUUUGCCCAGAGAUGUAGCAUUGUAGCUGACGAAGCCCUGAUAUUAAAACUUGACUGGUUACCUCUGGUCUCCCUGAGUAUAGGCUGCCAUCAGAGCACUGCCACCCAGCAGUGUCUCCCAGCCAUGCCCGUGCAGGUCUCCCAUGUGUCUCCAUGGAAAUAAAGAAACACUGAGGUCCUAACUUCUUGAUUGUGACUUACAAGUCUUUUGCACCCUCACAAAAUUUGGCAUAAACCUGCCUGUUGAAGCCAAUGAUGUUUGCAGUCUCAGUGUAUUUUUAAGAUUUUUCUAGAUGUCAUGUGUCAAUUUUAGCCUGUGAGAAAAAAAGCAGCUCUUACUCCUCUCCCUGCUGUUUGUCUGUGUUGGUUCUGCUUUGGCAGUUCCCACUUCCCAACAAGGACCACAAGCUCUUCAACAGGUUAAUCUGAAAGUAAUCCCCCAGAUUUAAGGUCCUCUGUCCAGCACUGACAUGCAAACCUGAAAGCCCACAGGUAAAGGCAGUUGUGCCUCAGGGCUGCUACAAGUCUUCUUCCCUUGCAAGGUUUUUCCUCACAGUGCACCCUUGAGGCACUUCCUGCUGAUGCCUUCGGCUCACUCUCUUCUGGCCACUUCAGAGGCGUUAGAUGGAGAACUUAACCAAGUUUUGUACCCUCCUGGCAACUCCUCUUCACACAUCUUCCUGCCACCAUUGCCUCAAUAUCCAAACCACUCUACAGAUACCUUGUGCUGGAUUUUGUGUUUUUCCUGUGCUCUGUCUUCUCCAGGCCCACACAGAUCUGCUGAAGCCAGGCAGGUGAGUUGUGCCAGCAGCACCCCUGCUCCCAUCCCUGGCUCUCCUUCACUUCUUGCCUGCUCCAACUUUUCACUUCAAGGAGGAGCCUCCAGUCUCUGGUAGGAAUUAAAAGACCACAGAGACCAUGGGGUAUAAAUAGGCUGGGCAGAAAAAAUUGGUCUCUGUUAGGCAGAGCUUGGAAAAGGAACUUGGAAGUGUUUUGAGAAGAAACAAGCACACCGAUUGUGUUUGGGCAGUGAGUUGUCUUACAAAGCAGAUGGCUUUGCAUCCUCCUAGACCUGCCUCUGAGGCACAGUUAGUACUUCCAUACUGCCAAGGAAAUGGUCUUUGUAAGAGAGACAGUGUUUGGUUGCUGGAUGCUGAGCCGAGCUGUGGGCACAGGCUUUACUGUCCUGUCCUGUUGUUAACAGGCAAAGGAGCUGCCCAGGGCACUUGAGCCCAGGGAGCCCCUACAAGUGUGUGCAGGGCAUGAAGCAGCCACAGGUCAGCCACAAACGGGUGUGGUGUGCCUCCUGCCAGUGCCACAGCAAGUACCAGAUCCACCAGGGGCUGAACACAGUGACUGACCAGGCUGGUGUGGCUGUGAUGGCACAGCACAGGGCCAGCUCCUGACAAA